UACGUAGGGCGCAAGCGUUGUCCGGAAUUAUUGGGCGUAAAGAGCUCGUAGGCGGUUUGUCGCGUCUGCUGUGAAAAUCCGAGGCUCAACCUCGGACUUGCAGUGGGUACGGGCAGACUAGAGUGUGGUAGGGGAGACUGGAAUUCCUGGUGUAGCGGUGGAAUGCGCAGAUAUCAGGAGGAACACCGGUGGCGAAGGCGGGUCUCUGGGCCGAUGACUGACGCUGGAGGAGCGAAAGCCGUGGGGAGCGAACAGG
rnacentral:rRNA from 1 species